rnacentral:rRNA from 1 species
GACGAACGCUGGCGGCGUGCCUAACACAUGCAAGUCGAACGGAGUUGUUCCUUCGGGGACAACUUAGUGGCGAACGGGUGAGUAACGCGUGAGAAACCUGCCUUUCAGUGGGGGACAACAGUUGGAAACGACUGCUAAUACCGCAUAAUGUUAUUUGGGGGCAUCCCUGAAUAACCAAAGAUUUAUUGCUGAAAGAUGGUCUCGCGUCUGAUUAGCUAGUUGGUGAGGUAACGGCUCACCAAGGCGACGAUCAGUAGCCGGUCUGAGAGGAUGAACGGCCACAUUGGGACUGAGACACGGCCCAGACUCCUACGGGAGGCAGCAGUGGGGAAUAUUGCACAAUGGGGGAAACCCUGAUGCAGCGAUGCCGCGUGGAGGAAGAAGGUUUUCGGAUUGUAAACUCCUGUCUUAAGGGACGAUAAUGACGGUACCUUAGGAGGAAGCCACGGCUAACUACGUG